AUAUCAAUAAGCGGAGGAAAAGGAACCAACAGGGAUUGCCUCAGUAACGGCGAGUGAAGCGGCAACAGCUCAAAUUUGAAAUCUGACCCUUCGGGGUCCGAGUUGUAAUUUGGAGAGGGUGUUUCGAUUGAGGCGCUGGCCUAAGUUCCUUGGAACAGGACGUCAUAGAGGGUGAGAAUCCCGUAUGCGGCCGGUGACCGAUUUCAUGUGAAACCCCUUCGACGAGUCGAGUUGUUUGGGAAUGCAGCUCAAAAUGGGUGGUAUAUUUCAUCUAAAGCUAAAUACCGGCCAGAGACCGAUAGCGCGCAAGUA
rnacentral:rRNA from 1 species